rnacentral:rRNA from 1 species
ACUCAAAUGAAUUGACGGGGACUCACACAAGCAGUGGAGCAUGUGGUUUAAUCCGAUACGACGCGUAGAACCUUACCAGGGCUUGACAUGUUCGGCAAAACUCGGGAAACCGAGCGGAGGUUAUCCGAACACAGGUGUUGCAUGGCCAUCGUCAGUUCGUGUUGUGAGAUGUAUGGUUUAGUCCUAUCAACGAACGAAACCCUUGUGCUUAGUUGCUAACAGGUAAUGCUGAGGACUCUAAGUAGACUGCCAAGGUAACUUGGAGGAAGGCGAGGAUCAAGCUUGGUCGUCAUGGCCCUUAUGCCCUGGGCGACACACGUGCUACAAUGGUUAGUACAAAGCGUUGCUAACCCGCGAGGGUCCGCUAAUCGCAAAAAACUAACCUCAAUUUGGAUUGGAGGCUGAAACUUGCCUCCAUGAAACUGGAAUUGCUAGUAAUCGCAAAUCAGCCAUGUUGCGGUGAAUAUGUCCCUGAGUCCUGCACACACCGCCCGU